UACAGAGGUGGCAAGCGUUGUUCGGAAUUACUGGGCAUAAAGGGUGCGUAGGUGGUUUGUUAAGUCAGGGGUGAAAUCCCGCGGCCCAACCGUGGAACUGCCUUUGAUACUGGCGAACUUGAGUGCGUGAGGGGUAGGGGGAACGAGCAGUGUAGCGGUGAAAUGCGUAGAUAUUGCUCGGAAGGCCAGAGCCGAAGGGGCCCUACUGGUGCGCAACUGACACUGAGGCACGAAAGCGUGGGGAGCAAACAGG
rnacentral:rRNA from 1 species